rnacentral:rRNA from 1 species
UACGAAGGGGGCUAGCGUUGUUCGGAAUUACUGGGCGUAAAGCGCGCGUAGGCGGUGUCCCAUGUCAGAGGUGAAAUCCCGGAGCUCAACUUCGGAAUUGCCUUUGAAACGGGGACGCUUGAGUCCGAGAGAGGAUGGCGGAAUUCCUAGUGUAGAGGUGAAAUUCGUAGAUAUUAGGAAGAACACCGGUGGCGAAGGCGGCCAUCUGGCUCGGUACUGACGCUCAGGUGCGAAAGCGUGGGGAGCAAAC